rnacentral:tRNA from 1 species
GCGGGCGUCCUAACCUAUUGAUUUAGCUGGCUUUCAGGUUGACCAGCAUGAUUUAGGUUCCAGCGGCGCAAGCUGUAAGAGUUCGAGUCUCUUCGUCCGCACCA